rnacentral:misc_RNA from 1 species
UUUCCGUAGGUGAACCUGCGGAGGGAUCAUUAACACGUUCCAACCCUAUCAACCAACCUGUGAACUUUGUAUCUGCCUCGACUUUUGAUAUUGGCAACAGUAUCGAAAAAAUUUGGUUUGGCUGCCUGUAGUACGCUGUCAGUCUCGAUGGUGGUGGAGAGGUCUCUCUGAUCUCUCCACUCGACUCCAGUGUAUCGCGAGAAGUCGCUUUAGAGCUUCUCAGCAGCGCCAAAUCCCAAAGGAGGCCCAAUCUAAUGGAUCAACCAGCUGACCAUCAGUUGUUUGAUCUGUUUAACCUUUUUCACGCCCAUUUGCAAGGUGGUCGAGUCUUACUCCGAUCUCACCUUACAAAACAGUAAUAAUCAAUUUCUAAUCUGCCACUGACCUGUGUCUGAUCGUUCUAGCUACCUAGUGUAGCUCCAGCGCAUCUCUGACUGCAGUGAGUAGUUAACCAAACCAAAAACUAACAGAGUAAUACAACUCUUAGCAAUGGAUAUCUUGGUUCUC